GUGCUCACUUUAGCAACAUAUAUACUAAAAUUGGAAUGAUACAGGGAAGAUUAGCAUGGCUCCAGCGCAAGGAUGACAUGCAAAAAAUUCAUGAAGUGUUCCAUAUUUAA